GUGGUUAAGUCCCGCAACGAGCGCAACCCUUGCCUUUAGUUGCCAGCAGUUCGGCUGGGCACUCUAAAGGGACUGCCGGUGUUAAACCGGAGGAAGGUGGGGAUGACGUUAAGUCCUCAUGGCCUUUAUGACCAGGGCUACACACGUACUACAAUGGCCGAUACAAAGGGCAGCGACACUGCGAGGUGAAGCCAGUCCCGUAAAAUCGGUCUCAGUCCGGAUUGGAGUCUGCAACUCGACUCCAUGAAGUUGGAAUCGCUAGUAAUCGUGGAUCAGCAUGCCACGGUGAAUACGUUCCCGGGCCUU
rnacentral:rRNA from 1 species